rnacentral:rRNA from 1 species
UACGUAGGGUGCGAAGCGUUGUCCGGAAUUAUUGGGCGUAAAGAGCUCGUAGGCGGUCUGUCGCGUCUGCGUGUGAAAACUUGGGGCUUAACCCUGAGCUUGCGGUCGAUACGGGCAUGACUGGAGUUCGGCAGGGGAGACUGGAAUUCUGGUGUAGCGGUGAAAUGCGCAGAUAUCGAGAGGAACACCCGUAGCGAAGGCGGCACGUCUGGGCCGGAACUGACGCUGAGGAGCGAAAGCGUGGGAGCAAACAGGAUUGAGAA